UCCCGGAUAGUGAAACGGUUAACACGUCAGACUCUCACUCUGGAGAUCGGGGUUCGAUUCCCCGUCCGGGAG